rnacentral:lncRNA from 1 species
ACACUAACCACCUCAACGUCUCCGUUGUCAUACACUACCUGAAACACGUGGGACCUUCCCCUGCGACCAGCAUACGAUGCUACACCCAGCGACCGGGUGGUGCGACGCCCUCUUCCCUUAGACUCUCUCAUAACAGCCACGCCUUGGAGGUCGCGCAGGUACUUGGGGGGCCCGGGAGCUGCACCCCGCGCAGGUUCGGACGACUUCCCUUCCAAAGCUUCAGCACUAACUCCUUUCGACUCACACUUUGGGCAAAUCCAUGCGCCCUCCGGUAUCUC